GAAAUGCGAUAAGUAAUGUGAAUUGCAGAAUUCCGUGAAUCAUCGAAUCUUUGAACGCACAUUGCGCCCUCUGGUAUUCCGGGGGGCAUGCCUGUCCGAGCGUCAUUGCGAACCCCUCAAGCACGGCUUGUGUGAUGGGCCCUCCCGCGUCUUGGUCGUCAAGACGGGCCCGAAAUGCAGUGGCGGCUUCGCGGUUAUCCGAUCAGCCAGAGCGUAUGGGGACUUUCUCUCUGUCACACGCCCGCGGCGCGGACCGACGCCUGUCGACCUUCAUUCAUCGUCUUCUCGGUUGACCUCGGAUCAGGUAGGGAUACCCGCUGAACUUAAGC
rnacentral:misc_RNA from 1 species